CGGCAACAACUCACUUCUUCUUCUUGGAGGAUAGGGAGGUUCAGAUUCGGUGGUUUGCGGAGCACCGCAAGUUUCAGUAGAGUCGUUUGUUUUGCUGCCGUCGAUGAUGAUAUCGGCGAGAAGCAGCCGGAGUCACCUAUUACUAGCUCUACUACUGGUGGAGGUAUCGGCUCUGCUCUUGAAGAUAGGCCUGAUAUGCUUGACAGUUCACAAGAAAACUUUGCUCAAAAUACUGACGGG
rnacentral:misc_RNA from 1 species